CCUACGGGAGGCAGCAGUGGGGAAUUUUGGACAAUGGGCGCAAGCCUGAUCCAGCCAUGCCGCGUGAGUGAAGAAGGCCUUCGGGUUGUAAAGCUCUUUCGGCCGGGAAGAAAUCGCACAGGUUAAUACCCUGUGUGGAUGACGGUACCGGAAUAAGAAGCACCGGCUAACUACGUGCCAGCAGCCGCGGUAAU
rnacentral:rRNA from 1 species